rnacentral:rRNA from 1 species
AGCAGCCGCGGUAAUACGGAGGGUGCGAGCGUUAAUCGGAAUUACUGGGCGUAAAGCGCAUGCAGGUGGUUUGUUAAGUCAGAUGUGAAAGCCCGGGGCUCAACCUCGGAAUUGCAUUUGAAAACUGGCAAACUAGAGUACUGUAGAGGGGGUAGAAUUUCAGGUGUAGCGGUGAAAUGCGUAGAGAUCUGAAGGAAUACCGGUGGCGAAGGCGGCCCCCUGGACAGAUACUGACACUCAGAUGCGAAAGCGUGGGGAGCAAACAGGAUUAGAUACCCUGGUAG